GGUGACUGGGGCUCAGUGGUAGAGCCCUCACCUAGCAUGUGGGAGGCCCUGGGUUCAGUCCUGGGCACCA
rnacentral:tRNA from 1 species